rnacentral:rRNA from 1 species
CAGAGGUCCCAAGCGUCGUUCGGAUUCACUGGGCGUAAAGGGUGCGUAGGUGGCCAGGUAAGUUCGGUGUGAAAGCUCGGAGCUUAACUCCGAAAUGGCAUUGAAUACUAUCUGGCUGGAGGGUCGGAGGGGAGACUGGAAUUCUCGGUGUAGCAGUGAAAUGCGUAGAUAUCGAGAGGAACACCAGUGGCGAAGGCGAGUCUCUGGACGACUCCUGACACUGAGGCACGAAAGCCAGGGGAGCAAACAGGAUUAGAUACCCUGGUAGUCCUGGCUGUAAACGGUGCACGUUUGCUGUAAGAGGAAUCGACCCCUUUUGUGGCGAAGCUAACGCGAUAAACGUGCCGCCUGGGGAGUACGGUCGCAAGAUUA